AGCUCUGGAUCCUCACACCAUCUCGCCUGAUUAUGACACGUUACAUGACGUUGACACUCAUAUUGAAGACAACACUUACACGUCUUUCGAACCCAUGACCAUGUGCUCCAAAGAUGUGUGCUUCACGCUCGCGAAACCUCACCCCAAUGACACGUACGAAGCUCUGGAUCCUCACACCAUCUCGCCUGAUUAUGACACGUUACAUGACGUUGACACUCAUAUUGAAGACAACACUUACACGUCUU